GUUGCACUCUUUGUCGACCACUUUGGCAGGUGCAAUUCAAUGCUUAUCAAUUUGUUGGCUAUCACUGGUGGCUGCCUCACUGGAUUCUGCAAAAAAACUGAGUUGAUUGAAAUGCUGAUCAUGGGCUACUUGGUUACUAGCUUGUUCUAUGGACCCUGCACAGGUUUUGUGCCCAUGUACAUUGGAGAAAUCUUGCCUACUGCCCUUUGGAGUACUUUUAGUGCUCUCAACCAGCUGGGCAUCAUUGUUGGUAUUCUGGAGGCCCAGAUCUUUGGUCUGGAGUUCAUCUUGGGGUCUAAAGAGCUAAGCCCAGCGAUACUGGGCUUUACCAUCCUUUCAGCUGUCCUGUAAAGUGUAGCCCUUCCAUUUUGCCCUACAAGUCAUAAAUUUUUGCUCAUUAACAGAAAGGAAGAGUACUAAUGAGACCCUCCAGCAAUUGUAGGAGACUCAGGAUGUGUCCCAGGACAUCUGGGAGAUGAAAUAUAAAAACGCUAGGAUAGUACAAGAAAAGCAAGUCCCUGUGCUGGAGCUCUUUACCCAGCUACUGACAGCCCACUGUCAUUUCCAUUGUACUCCAGCUCUCAGUAGCUCUCUGGAAUCGAUGUUGUCUUCUCUAUUACUCAAUGAGAAUCUUCAAGGACGCAGGUGUUGAGAAGCCAAUCUAUAGAUUAGUGCAGGUCUGGUUAAUACUAUCUUCUUUACUGUAGUCUUUCUGGUUGAAAGGGCAGGAAGGACUUUACGUAUGAUAGGUCUUGGAGUGAUGGCUUUUUGUUCUGUCCUCAUGACUGUUUAUUAAAGGAUGAGUAUGGUGAAUGAGCUUUGUCUGUAGUGGGGUUACCUUGGUCUUUGUGGCCUUCUCUGAAGUUGGACCAGGCCCCAUUCCCUGGCAUACUGUGGCCACACUCUUCAGUUUGCAGUAGCAGUGGCAGGUCGCUCCAACUGAACCUCCAACUUUCUAGUUGGAUUGCUCUUCCUGAAAAAUUAUUAUCUAGUUUAAGUGUGUUGUUGCUUUAGGGACAUGUCAUGCUUAUACACAUCUGUUAACCAUUUGACCUUGGUACUGUGUCAGGUUCCCUUAGGGGAACUGAAUCUUUGCAGUAGAACACAUUUGAGAUAGUUAUGAGUUAACUGGGCACAGUAACAGCACAGUUCCCAGCAAUCCAAAAUACUAUACAUACUUCACUAAAGCAAAUCUAAUGAUUCCAUUGCCUUCAUUUCUAAAAUUUGAAUUGGACUUAAGAGCAGCCGGUUUUUAAGGAUUAAAAAGUAACUUUAAUGCAUUGUAGACCUAUACACAAAAAAAUCUUUGUAACUUUUGUGCUUAAUUUUCAUUCUUAAAAAAUGUAACUUUCAAAUGCAAGGAGCGCUCGGUUUGCUGUGAGGCUAGACAAAGAACACAUGAUACAGAAUUUCCCAUUACCACCACCCCGCCCCUAUGAGAAGAUUGCCUUUUAAUUAAGAGACUUUUAGAACUAGUGAUUUUAAGUUCUACUCUCAUCUUUUCCAAAGACUAAGUCUUUAUUAGUAAACUUGUCAUGUAAUUUGACAUGGCAGUUCCUUGCUCAGCUGCUCUAAAUAAGUUGGAAAUUAGGUGGUCUCUUAGUUUGGGUAAAGUCAGUGCUAUUGCCAGUAAUAUAUAUGAUAAUUGAAAGCCCUUAAAGUGGUUCAGAUUAUUUGCCCAAAUACUCCAUAAAAUUUUCUGAGAGUUUUGUUUUUUUUUUUUUACCUUCGGGUGUAUAUGUGAUUGCUAUAUUGUAAAUACCAGUUCCUGAAAGACUGUUUCUGUAAACAGAAUGAUGCAGCACAAAGUGAAAAGGUUUUCCUCUUAUUCCAGCGUAUUCUUGCCUUCAAAGAGUAGUCUGUUACAUCUUGUCUUGAUGUUUAAGGUUUAUUCUUGGGUGGAAAGCUUAACUGGGUAGUAAUUUCCAAAUGUUCUUUAUAACCACUCUAUAUAUCAUUAGCAAUUUUUUUUUCAUAUUUUAUUGUAUCUUUUUCUGUUAAGCACUUUAUGCUUUUUAGUCUUUUGCAUUUAGAAAGUAGUUUAGAACUUCUUUCACUGUUUAAAGCCAUGUGAAAACUGAUAGAGGAUAAUGAAAAGGAGUGUACAUUAUUUUGUAUUUAACUUACUGUUUUGUGGUAUGUGUAAACAAAACAUUAGAAAUAUAUUGUCUUUUUGUAAUAAUACUCUUUGACCUCAUUUAAAGUGAUCUGCCAUGAGGUAUCAAUGACCAAGUUUAUGUUUAUUCUAAUGUGUUUUAUUCUGAUACCUAAGGAAUUUAGCCAACUUUAUUUCUAUCAUCAGAUGAUCUCAGAAAACAAUGUUUUAUCUAUAUUACUGCCUCUUUUCAAUAUUUAAGAGAAUAAUUGUCUUCUGAUUUCUGCUGAGCCUAGUAAUACACUAAAGGCCUAAAAAAGUGAGUAACUCUUUCCUAUCAUUCGGGGUAUUUGGAUAGCCCAUUCAAGAUAAUGGUAGUAUGAAAAUGAAUCAUCCCAGCUUUUCUACCAUAUCUAAAUUUUGAAUAAUUAAUUUUUACCUGCAAGAAGUUCACAUGUUUUCUUAAAGUAGUCACUAUUUGCAUUAAUCCUGUAUAUUCAGUGAAUGUGAGGUCAUAUUUGGUAUUGCAUUAGAGGUAGUGUUGGUCACUGGUCUUGCCUCUGUGAACAUUAUUUUUAUUUGUAAAAUGAGGGAAUUGGUUUGUUAUGAUGGGAAAUGAGUCUGUUUUCUGGGUCCUGAGAAAGUUGCUUCAUUCAUGGCAGUAUUUGGGAUAACUGAAAUAUUUUUUUUUCCAGGUAUUUGGUGUCAUGCUUUGUAGUUAAUGUUUAAUGCUUAUAUAAUUUUAAGUUAUUACAUAAUUUUUAUUGGUGUAUAUUUAUAGGUACUAGGUUUUGGAUUCUCGCUAAACCAAUAGGAUGGUAUUCUCUCUUAAUAUGUUAUUGCCUGUAAUGGCCAAGUAGAUAUACCUUAAAGUAAUAUGAAAGGUUUUAUAUGUAUAUUAAAAUGUAUGUGUACUUUUAAAUCUGUAAAGGUUAUCUGGAAUUUUUACUGUGUUAACUUCAGAAUUAUAUGGGCAUUAUGACUUUUUCAUUGUACAACAAACAUAUUCAUAAAUGUUGGAAUAUAGUUGUUUCUUGACUUGUGAUAGGGUUAUGUUCCAUUAGACCCAUUGUAAAUUGAAAAUCCCAUAAGUUGAAAAUGCAUUUAAUACACCUAACCUAGUAAACGUCGUAGCUUAGCCUAGCCUAUCUUAAAUGUGUUCAGAACACUUAACAUUGACCUAUAGCUGGGCAAAAUCAUCUAAUACAAAACCUAUUUUAUAAUAAAGUGUUUAAUUAAUCUCACAUAACGUUAGCCCAGGAUAAUACCAAAAUACGAAAUUUUGAGGUACAGUUCCUACUGAAUGUGUAUUGCUUUUGCACCAUUGUAAAGUUGAAAAACUGUAAGUCAAAUCAUUGUUAAGUUAGGCUGUUUAUAUUACAUAUAUUUGGGAUUUUUUUAGUGGCCCUUUUUAAAAAGCUGUUUAUUAUUUCUGAUCAUUGUGAGUGGGGAUAAAUGUGGGAAGAACCACGUCUCUACUAAAAAUAUAAAAAGUAGUCAGGCUUGUUGGCGCACACCUGUAGUCCCAGCUAUUCGGGAGGCUGAGACAGGAGAAUCACUUCAACCCGGAGGCAGAGGGUAGAUCAUCCCACUGUUCUCCAGCCUGGGCAACAGAGCAAGACUCUGUCUCAAAAAUAAGUAAAUUAAUAAAUAAAUGUACACCGAGCUGAUACUGGGAUUUCAGGUACUGCAGUUAGCAUGAAUGAUGUGUUUGGGGUAAAUCAAUUUUAUUUUCUUAAGAAAAAUCUGAAAAUCUUAAUUUACGUUCUAGCUCCUGUAGUCAAAAUAUUUUUUCUUUUAGAAUUUCAGUGUUUUUGCUGCAACUGCCACUAAUUUUGCAUUUAAAAGAACAAAAGAGGAAUGUAUUUUUCAAAGGAGUGAAUGAGGUUAAAAUCUAGAUUUUGAAUGAUAUAAAUAUGCAACUGAUUCAAUUGUAGGAUAUUAUUAAAUUUUUUUAUUUCUAAAUAUCUUUCCUUCAUGCAUUGUAGUUCUUACAGUUCCAGUAGCUUUCUAAGAAAACAUUUCCAUGUUUACAUAUUUGUAAAGUAUGCAUAAAUAAUGUAGAAUAAUUUGGGAUUAUCUCAACUUUACAUUGUAUGUCUCAAUUUCAUCAAGGUCAUAGCUAGCUCGGUCAAUAGUUUUCACAGGUAUUAAGCCAUUUGGAAUUUGCCACUUUUUUCUGGGGAACCUGUUUUAGUUUAGUUUAGUUUACAGCAUUUAGAAAUAGAAGGUAACUUUAUAGAAGUAACACCGAUAUCCCAGUCUGCUUGUCCUGAAUAUAAUUAAUAAUAUUAGGAUGUAAGUGAUACUAAGGUGGUUUUUAUUAUUUUUUAUACACCGUGUGCUUUUACUUUUUAUUUAAACUACAGCUAAAAACCGACUUUUUAACUAAAAUUGAAUGACAUUUAUCUUAAUGCCCUGUUUUUGACCAAAUCAUACUCAGAAGAUGUUAUUAUGUCCCAAUCUAAAGAAUCCUUUGAGGAUUAAUUUUACUUACACAUGCCAUUUCAGUUUAAGUUGCCUUACUCUGUCUAUUACUUUAUUCUUGUCAAAUCUAAGCUUUAUCAUGUUUGAAUUCUUUCAACACUGAAUCUGUGAUGUAAAAAUGUAUGAUGUGAUACAAAUUUUAUUCAUAAUAAACUAAGUUAUAGCCUAUUGCAACCUGUAAAACAUUUCUUGUAAAUUACCUAAUUUAUUUUUUCAUUUAUGUACAGUUUCUUAUGUAAAUUUGAAAAAUAUUUGCCAUGGUGCAUUCUGUAAACAUUCCCAUAUUCUUUUCCUUAAUGCUUAUUUGCAUGAAAGUAACUUGGGUUUUGCUUGUUUCUGUUUGUUGGAUAGCCAUUAAACCAACUUCAGUAUCUCUGUAUUUUUCUGUAGCUUAAGUUUCUAAUUUUGCUUAUAUUCUAAAUAGAUGUUACGACCAUACUUUUUAUUUUCUACUUUCUAAAUAAAUUCUCUAAGUUGUUUA